rnacentral:rRNA from 1 species
GACGAACGCUGGCGGCGUGCUUAACACAUGCAAGUCGAGCGGUGCGGCGAACGGGUGUGUAACGCGUGAGUAACUGCCCCCCUCGCUGGGAUAACAGUUGGAAACGGCUGCUAAUACCUGAUAGUGGGGGAUGACUCGCGUCCGAUCAGCGUGUUGGUGGGGUAGUGGCCUGCCAGGGCGACGACGGGUAGCCGGCCUGGGAGGGCGACCGGCCAGAUUGGGCCGAGAUACCGGCCGAAUGCCGAGGGGCGGCAGCAGUGGGGGAUGUUGCCCCAUGGGGGAACAAUAGAUGCAGUGACGCGCGUGCGGGGUGAAGGCCCUGGGAUUGUAAACCGCUUUCAGCGAUGACGCGGUAGUGGCAGAAGAAGCACCGGCUAACUACGGGCCAGCAGCCGCGGUAAUAC